rnacentral:lncRNA from 1 species
UAGUGUUUUGAGACUUCAGAGGGGAGAAAGGCAAUUCACAUGAAGAUUGAAAAGCAAAUGGUUGGUAAAUAAGUGUUUGUUGGACUUUGCAGAGACAAUGAGACAUGGAGUGGACUCUGAUCUAUAGGUCCUGCUGAGUCCCCCCCACACAGCCCAUACUCUUUGCAGAUAUCUCUGGUGAUAGCUCAAUUCCAGGAAUAAGCUUCCUAUCUCAGUUUUUAUUAAGCAGUUAGGGAGAGGGUCAGAGUUUUCUCCUGAGUGUUUUGGGCUUUGAUUGUUUUCAGCUCAAAGUAAUUUUGUGCCAAAGAGGCAUUAUGGGGUGCCAAGUUUUGCUCCCAGACAUUUGCUUCUUUUUUUUUUUUAUUUCCUCUUAAUAUCUAUUUAAAGAAUUGAUCAAAUUUGCUGUACAACAAAAUGGUAUCAAGAGAAUACUUGGUUUAUGACUUCAUCUUCCAUGUUGAAAUAAAAUAAUAAAACAAUAAUAGCUAUAAUAAAUAAUGACAAAACUUAUGAAUUUGACUUCAUUUCCCAUCUAAUCCUAGCUAUCUUUCAAAUCGUUAGUCCCUGAAGCAAAUUUUGUUCAUUUUUUUUGUGCUUUUGGGUUUAGAGCUAUGUUUGCCAAAUAUUUGAUAGAACACUAGUCUUAAGAAAGUGUUUUUGGAAGAAAGUAUGCUGGUUGAAUGAAUACAUUUGGGAAUGGGAAAAACUAACCAUGUGACCCCCUUCCUUAUGGAAAGUCAGUAUAUGCAUUAGUUUAUUAAUGGUCUAAGUAAUUUUUAGAGCAUCAAUAUCCUUUUUUGCAUUAAUUAAAGAACCUGUUGUGUUGUACAAGCUGUGUUGUACAGUAUACACUAUAGGAAAUAUAUCCUUAGAGAGGUUUAUAUACUGGAUAUUAUUCCUAUCUUGACACUAUUUCUAUUCCUACUCUUCCAAGAUAGUAUAUCAUAUAUACACAUAGCAUAUCAUAUAUAGUAUUUAUUUAGUAAACUAGAAGAGGUCAACAGGUUUUAAAGAUGUUGCUUGGUGAGAAGGUUCUUUGUUGAUUUUCUAAAAAUUCUUUUUGCUUUCUUUAGUUCUCUCUUUAUUCCCUAUCAUCUUACCCAUUUCGAAUCUGAAGUAUUUGCAAAACUGACCUAGAAGGAAUACAGUUCUUCCUCUUUGGUAUUGCAAAAUUAGCACUGUAAUAUCUACCCUAAGAUAUAUGUAGUUCAGGCAGCUUUUGUGGGUCAUAUCUCACUUUAUGUAUAACAUCUCAUUCUGGCUUUGAGUUUUAGGAAUAAAGUGGAUUAAUUUAAAAAUAGCUGUUCUGUUUUGUAGUGAAAGUAUACCAGUGUUGUAAUUGGGAAGGAUAUGAAAAAAAUCAAGAGGCAGUUGUAAAAAUAGGUUCACACAGCUAGGACUUCAACUCAGUGCUUGAAAACAUUGUAUAUAAUUUUUAAGAGUGUGCUGGACUCUUCUCAUGGCUUCCUUUCAGAGGAAAAGCAAAAAUAUUAAUGAAAUGUUAGUAUUAGAAAACUGAGGUAAAAUGACUCAUAUAGUGACUUUGUGACUUAUCUUUGAUAGACGUGAUUGUCAUUACUAAAAUAUCUGAGGCCAUUGUUUUUGAAACUUAUUAAUAUGAUAUCUAAUUUAGUCAUAGCUACUGUGAGCUAGAUUAAGAUUUCAUUUCAUAAGUGUCCUUGUCUUUAUGAACUCCAGACUCCUUUCUAAUUUGGUUUAGAUUAAAGAUAAUCAUUCAUGGUUAUAAGUUCAAUUUAAUAUUGACUAAGUCAGACAAUAAACUAUCUAAUAUUUACAUCUGCUUAGAGAUAGCCUGCUUCAUUUAUUUUAAAUGGAAAGGUUUAAAAAAGCCUUUCUAUUUCUUUUUUUGUUAUUGAAGAGACUCAUAUAGGAGAAGGUACAUAGCUAACAGUUCUAUCCUUCUCUGAGUUCUACUUGUUAAACUUAAAAGUGGUAAAAAAUUAUUACCAACAAAAAUUUUGAGAAAUACAUGCAAAUAGUCUAGUUGUAUUGAACAUCAACUUAUAUAGUAGCUUCCCCAUUCCUGUAAGUUAUUCUGAGAUUUUAAACAUAUGAUUGUUUUGAUGAUACAGUUUAUUUGCCCAGUCCACAUUAAAAUCCGAAUGAAUUUUAAUAUUGAAAUAACAGUAAGAAACUCUUAUUUCAAGUUGCUGCCUUUUGUUUGCUGUACACUACUACAGUGUCAAAGAUUGAUUAUUUUUCUUUUAAAGCUGAUAUAGCUUCUACAGUUGACUGACUGCUUUUGAAUGACAAAAAGAAGGUUCCCAGGCUAGGGGUUGAAUUGGAACUAUAGCUGUUGGCCUGUACUACAGUGGCAGCAACGCCAAAUCCUAUGAGCCGUGUCUGCGACCUACACCACAGUUCACAGCAAUGCCAGAUCCUUAAUCCACUGAGUGAGGCCAGGGGUUGAACCUGCGUCCUCACAGAUACUUGUCAGAUUCGUUUCCUCUGAGCCAUGAUGGCAACUGCUUUUUUUUAUUUAACUUUUUUCCUUCAUUGAAGAUAUGUUAUUUUUACAUUUUUCAAUGAAAAACGUUGUCAACUUUUAGAUUUGUAAAAGAGUUAGCAAUUAUGGUUAUUUUGAAGCCAUGCAUUGUUUAUUAAGCUAAUUUUCCAUAUGUGUAUAAAAAGAUCUGAACAUUGAUACAUUUUUAUUGUAUUUAUAACUAAUAGUGAAAAUGUUUAAAUAUAUAAAUAGCUGGUGAAAUUUUUAUAUAACAUAUUAAAAAGUCUGUUGUCUUGUAAAAGCUUUAAUGCUAACAGCAUCUGUUAAAAUAUAAAAACAAAUCUGAAGUUCUCUAAGAAAAAUACAUUAGUUUCCUUUGAGGAUACUAUUGUUGCUUUGCUGCCCUCUACAGUCAUCUAAAAGUCAGUCUAGACGUUUCCCCCAUGAUGACUAAAAUACUUCCUUGACAUUUGUGCUAUAAAUUUCAAGAGUGAGUUGAGUAAUAUUUUCUGUUAAAAUAUGAUAACAUUUUAAUUGAUCACAACAGUUGAUCUACACCUGUAAUGCAAAAAAUAAGUCUUAGAAAUUGAAGGAGGAAAUGGAUUGAGGACCCACGUGCAUCAAUAAGGAAAUGGAUAAUAGAGCACCAACCAAGUGAUAAGAAGUAUAGAGGAUACCACAGUGGAGUAAGACAUGAUGGCUGCUCCAAGCUUAUAAACCCAUUAGUAAGACAAACCAGAUAUUUUUAGUAACAUACCAUAUGUUAGAUAUUUGUAAUAACAUUUCAAGUAGUGGUAUGAUAUAG